UCGUUACCUUUGACCUGUGAGUUUGAUCAGUCGACCGCAGGUCACAUGUGAUCACGGUAUCUUUCUGGUUCCUGGUUCGCGUAACGUUGAUACAUUGAAGCAGCGACGAAUAAGAUCAGAAGUUUCCGUCUUUCCACCGUCAAGUCUCUACUAAGGUGCCAAAAUGUCGAUGACAGCCAUAGUGCAGCACUUGCGUGAGAACGUGGGGAAGAUGAGGUCUGUAGAGUACCGACGCGAGCAGCUGAGGGCACUGUUACGCUGCAUUGAUGAGAACCUAGACAGGUGGAUAGAGGUACUGAGGAAGGAUCUGCACAAGCCUAAAAUGGAGUGUAUGGGUAUGGAGGUAAACUACACCAGGAAUGAGCUCAUUGUUCACUUGAACAACCUGGAUGAGUGGACCAAGCCGGAGUAUGUGAAGAAAGAACUGCCACAGAUGAGGGACGAGUGUUACAUCCAGUACGAGCCGCUAGGUGUCAUCCUCGUCAUCGGGGCCUGGAACUAUCCAGUGCAGCUUGUCCUGUGCCCUCUCAUUGCUGCCAUUUCUGCUGGUAACUGUGCUGUAGUGAAGCCUUCUGAGCUGUCUGAAGCCACAGCAGCUCUUGUGGAAGACCUACUCCCCAAAUAUCUGGAUAAGGACUGCUUUGCUGUUGUUAACGGAGGUGUGAAGGAGACAACCGAGCUUUUGGAGCAGAAGUUUGACCACAUCAUGUACACAGGGAACAGUAAUGUGGGCAGGAUUGUGAUGGCUGCAGCUGCCAAGCACCUGACACCUGUCACACUGGAGCUGGGGGGCAAGUCACCAUGCUAUGUGGACAAGGACUGUGAUGUUGAUGUUGCAGCAAGGCGUAUUGCGUGGGGUAGGUUUGUGAACUGUGGCCAAACCUGCAUCGCCCCUGACUAUGUCCUGUGUGCAAGUCAGAACCAGGACAGGCUACUGAAGGGCAUCCAGGCAGCUCUGGAGGAGUACUUUGGCAAGGACCCCAGGCAGUCUGAAGAUUACUGUCGUAUCGUGAACCAGCGCCAUUUCCACCGCGUCAAGAGCAUGAUAGAGAAGACAAAAGGCAGCAUCGCGCUCGGCGGGGAUUCUGACGAGAAGGACCUGUACAUCAGCCCCACCGUGGUAAAGGACGUCAAACCAACCGAUGCACUGAUGGAGGCGGAAAUCUUCGGCCCCGUCCUGCCGAUCGUGACCGCAGAGAGUGCAGAUGACGCCGUUCGUUUCAUCAACAGUAGAGACAAGCCGCUUGCGCUGUAUGCCUUCGCUAAUGACAAGAAGGUUAUCCACGACAUCGUACAGCGUACGUCCAGCGGGAGUGUCUGCGGAAAUGACACCAUGAUGCAGAUGGCUUUGCCCACGCUGCCGUUCGGAGGUGUCGGUACGAGCGGCAUGGGGAACUACCACGGGAAGUUUGGCUUUCUCACCUUCUCCCACAGGAAGGCAGUGAUGGUGAAGGCACUAGCUAUGGAAAAGGUGAACAGUAUCCGUUACCCCCCCUACACGGAGAAAAAGAUGAGCUGGAUCAAUUGGCUUACUAAUAAGAAGGAGAAAAGGAGGGGUGGUCUCUUCAGCUUCAUGCCCUUUGCUGUGAUAAUGACCAUCCUGGCAGUUCUCCUCAAGUAUGUUGAUCAUCAGUAUGCUGUUGCCAGUGCUGUAUAGACAAAGUACCUGUCUUCUUAUGACUUACGCUACAGACCUCGACAAUGAUUCCUCUCUUGUACAGUUCUUUGGAUAGUUGCUAGGACACAACAAACAAAUGCCUGGGUCAUGAUGACACAACAAUGGGCCGUCGGGACAGCGUGAGACCCGUAAAGACGAAGAGAACUUUUGUUUUUACAAAUCGCCAGAGAAUAUUUCUCAUAAUAAUGCCAGUAACAUCAUAUUCAUUGUAAAUCAGUUUUAGAUAAUAGCAAAAAUUAUGUUGUGUAUUUAUGCAAUUUAUAACAGGAUUCAAUUGAGAUUAAUCUUGUAAUUUAAAUGGCAUUCUUGAUCAUGAUAAUAAUUACUCUUAGUCAUGGAGAUUAGAAGCCAGUAUCCAAAAUUUUUAAGAUUUGAUAUUGACCCACAAGCAAAUAAGUUGACAUACAUGAUGAAAUUGCCAUGUUUGAAAGCAUAAGCAUUACCUAAUUAUGUUAUGGUAUCAUGUCUACUAUCAGUACAGAUAAUUCUAUUUACUUGUCCUUUUACUACAAUUCCAUACAUUGAAGAAGAUUAUUUUCUAAUUGUUCAUUAAUAGAACAUUUAGCAAGCUAUGUACUAUAGAUUAUGUAAUUAUAAAGAGAAAUGCUGUUAGCUGACUUUUGACCGUAAGAAAUUAUUACAUUACUUGGUAUUGAUAUGACAAAAUAGUAUCAGUGGCUCCAAUGUUUAUGAUGAAGAAAUAUUUGUUAAGAAAUAAGACUUAAUGCUAUGAAUGACAUCAAUGAUUGAAUGGAUCUAGAAGCACCUGAUAGUCAUGUGUGAAAAUACUUUAUAACGUUACAGAGAAAUGGUUUGGUUUUGCAGAAUGUCAAUGAUUUUGGCACGGGACAUGAGUUUUGAUUGAAAAGGAUAGUCACAUACGUUUUCCACACUAUUAAAAGUACACUAUGUAAGAUUUUGGCCCCCAAAACUGACAAUAUACACCCCACUCAUCAGUCAGUCACACAAGAUAGUUAUGAUUAUGUUUCUGUUGGAAGAUCACAGUUUUUAAACAUCUUUGUAUGAGACAAUGAUGUUACAACUUCCCUGAAUAUUGACAUGCAAUGCUAAAGUGUUGAUCUACAUGUAACUUACCUUGUAUAGCAAAGAAAUUGUAGAAAAGUUUCCAUUUUGUAUAGUCCUAAUCUUACAUAGAGCAUCUUUAACGUCCGCAACAUGGGACCAAAUUGGUCAUGAACUCAUCCUGAAGUCAAUGUGAAAAUAGAUGAUGCUGCUACAAAAUUUUGAAUAAUUAACAUUGUUUUGAGUAAGAGUUUUUUGCUUUAUCUGACUGUAGUGUGCCAACUACUGCUAAAUGAUUAUCCAGAUCGGUUUUGUCUGAUUAAAAAAAAGUAACCACCA